rnacentral:rRNA from 1 species
AAGUGCUAGUUGAAUAAGCUGGCACCUUGACGGUACCUAACCAGAAAGCCACGGCUAACUACGUGCCAGCAGCCGCGGUAAUACGUAGGUGGCAAGCGUUAUCCGGAAUUAUUGGGCGUAAAGCGCGCGCAGGUGGUUUCUUAAGUCUGAUGUGAAAGCCCACGGCUCAACCGUGGAGGGUCAUUGGAAACUGGGAGACUUGAGUGCAGAAGAGGAAAGUGGAAUUCCAUGUGUAGC